rnacentral:rRNA from 1 species
UACGUAGGGGGCUAGCGUUGUCCGGAAUCAUUGGGCGUAAAGAGCGUGUAGGCGGCCCGGUAAGUCCGCUGUAAAAGUCAAAGGCUCAACCUUUGAAUGUCAGUGGAUACUGCCGGGCUAGAGUCCGGAAGAGGCGAGUGGAACUCCUGGUGUAGCGGUGGAAUGCGCAGAUAUCAGGAAGACCAGUGGCGAAGGCGGGUCUCUGGACAGUUCCUGACGCUGAGGCACGAAGGCCAGGGGAGCAAACGGG